rnacentral:rRNA from 1 species
AGAGUUUGAUCCUGGCUCAGAAUGAACGUUGGCGGCGUGGAUUAGGCAUGCAAGUCGAGCGAGAAGCUUCCCUUCGGGGAAGUGGACAGCGGCGAAAGGGAGAGUGACGCGUGGGUUAUCUGCCCUUGGGACUGGGAUAGCGGCUGGAAACUGCCGGUAAUACCAGAUAAUGUCUCCGGACCAGAGGUGUGAUUCCGCCUGGGGAUGAGCCCGCGUCCUAUUAGCUUGUUGGUAGGGUAACGGCCUACCAAGGCGAAGAUGGGUACCGGGUGUGAGAGCAUGGCCCGGCUCACUGGGACUGAGACACUGCCCAGACACCUACGGGUGGCUGCAGUCGAGAAUCUUCGGCAAUGGGCGAAAGCCUGACCGAGCGACGCCGCGUGCGGGAUGAAGGCCUUCGGGUUGUAAACCGCUGUCAGAGGGGCGGAAGUGCAUGGGGGCUAUCCCCCAUGUUUGACCUAACCUCAGAGGAAGGACGGGCUAAGUUCGUGCCAGCAGCCGCGGUAAGACGAACCGUCCAAACGUUAUUCGGAAUUACUGGGCUUAAAGGGUGCGUAGGCGGCUCGAUAAGUUGGGUGUGAAAUCCCACGGCUCAACCGUGGAACUGCGCUCAAUACUGUCGGACUUGAGGGAGAUAGAGGUGAGCGGAACUAAUGGUGGAGCGGUGAAAUGCGUUGAUAUCAUUAGGAACACCUGUAGCGAAAGCGGCUCACUGGGUCUCUUCUGACGCUGAGGCACGAAAGCUAGGGUAGCGAACGGGAUUAGAUACCCCGGUAGUCCUAGCUGUAAACGAUGAGCACUGGGUCGGAGGCCCUUCCACAGGCUUCCGGUCGUA